GCUUGACCAGCUCAUUUACUGAAUAAUAGUCAGUAGAGCACGAGACUCUUAAUCUCAGAGUUGUGGGUUUGAACUCCAAGUUGGGCA